AAAAUGUCCAGUAGAUUGUGGUAACUUUUCUGUAUUAUUCUGAUGAAUGAAUUGUAUUUUUUUUUUCAUCAGCCUCAUUUUCAAAAUGAUGGGAGGGUAAGAUGUACUUUGAAGAUAAUAAUAUAAAUUGUUGUAGAUUAUCAAGGAACAUUUAUCAAACACCAUUUCAAUUUGUGUUUAUUGUCAUUUCUCCAUAUUCAUGUAUGAAAAUCGAGAACAAAAUUAUGAAACUACUCUAUACCCACUCGCCUUGCUCAUUUUUCUCAAGGGCAUCUGUGUUCUUGAUGAUGGAAACUAAAAUAAGUUGGUGAUCUAUACUCAGCUUUUCAAUAAAAUAAAGAAGGCCAAUCAUAGUAGUCUAGAUUUUUUAUAGAAUGAUAGAAAUGUAGGAGACCCCCUAAUAUAUAGGCCAUUUUGAAAUAAAUUCCUUUAGUUUAUUAUGAUACUAGUUUUUGAUUGACUGCCUUUUUACUUGGUCAUUCCCUCCAUCUGAACUGGGGAAGCAACUGUCAACUGCUCAUAACUGCUCAGAUCUUCAGAUUGUGGUAUUUGCCAUAGAACAAAGGAUGAGCUCAAAGAUGAGAGAUCAAGAGAGAAGAGUUCGAGAAGAUAGAGAGAAUUGAGAUUCGCCGACUCGACGAACUCCAAUAAUUCAAGACCCCUGGCGGCACGAUAAAGGAUUUUUGGAUGUCAAAGUGUAGCUAAUUAGCUGCCACUUGAUUGAAUCAAUCAGUCAUUCGAGGAAGCAUGCUACAGGAUAAGACAUCAGCAGUUGUGUGGAUUAGGCACUAUUUCUGCAGAUAAGUAACAAGUGCCAGAGGAGAAGAUUAGGAAGACAGAAGACGAAGAUUGAAGAUAUAGGGAAAGUUGCCAGACCUUGGCAUCAAAAUAACUUUUCUUUAAUUGUUUGAUUUUGAAUUUCUAUUUGACACUACUAUUUUAUUGCACAAUCUAUUUAUAGAUUUAAUGUCUUAACUAUCCAAAGCCGAUCUCAUUUCUUAUUUGAUGUUAUCUCUGUCAGUCUGUAAACAGAUAUAUGUAUCUUCUGUUGUCUGCCUGCUCUUCAUACAGAGAUUUCUCAUUAGACAAUCAAACCUUAGUUUAGUGUUCAUAGUUGCGACAGUGCUGCUGGUAGUUUAUCUUCUGAUAUCAUAUCAUAUUGUUGAAAAAUAUGAUAAAUAACAUAUCAAAAAAUGUAACUUUGUGCCAAAUUUUCUGAUUUUCGUCGGUUGGACACUUUGAUGCAUGGACAUGGUUGCUUUUUAUUUUUCUAUCCUUAAUUCAUGGAUGCAUUGUUUGGAUUUGGUUCUGCCGCUCGGCAUCACACACUGUUGAUAUUUCUAUGACCAAAGAAUAGAAUUUAUAGGACAAGAUUUCUGCUCCUGACUGCCUAUAAAACAAAGCAUAAAGAAUGGGCUGAAUGCAUUUAAUCAAACUUAUCUUUUCAAAACCAGACCAUCAAAUUCACCAGUCAUUUUCUGAUUUAGAAAUUAUUUUCUAAAAGGUUGGGUUGAUGUUCGGAAUACCUAUACAAGUUAGAUGGAGGACAUCCAAUUCCUAUGUAUAUACAAUCUUCUAUCUUCUACAAGGAGAGUUUUAUAUAAAUUUUUUGUCUCAUUGUAUGUUUCUACGUUUGAAUCACGCACUUCGAGUUUGAUAGCUUUCUUUUUUGUGUUCUGUGGUUGACUUGAGAUGAUAUAAUAAUUACAACAUAAUGUAUUGUGGUUUGACAA